GUUUGAUUGCCUAAUGAUAUUUCGCACGUAUUCCCAGACUGGAGUGACUUCUAUAACAAAGUUCAGAUGAGAAAUUGGUUGCAAAGGAACAUUAUAUAAUUACUACUUUGCAUUUGUUUCCAAUUUCCGGGGUUAAUUUUCCCAGAAUUUAUUGGGUGGAUGGCAAACCAUACUCCGUCAACCUUGGAACAAUCAAGAAACAUAUCUUUGUUGGUUAAGACGUACUAUUUACUCUCAUCUACAUCCAGAGAGAGCCUGUCUAGUAUAUGGUAGUACCCCACCAUUGAGAGUGGAAGUCCAUCAGUGAGCUUUAUUGUCAAUUGUCAUGGUCCAAGGGAAAAGAGGGCGAAAUGUAGUGAUCUCUCUCUCUCUCUCUCUCACUCUCUUUCCGUGUAUGUCUUUUAUGUGUGAAAUUAUAUUUCUAAUCUUUAAUGCUACUAUCAUUUCAGUAGCUUGUCUUUUAAACAUUCAAAUGCUCUCUUGCUUUUCAGGCUGGACCCUUUUGUAAAAGUUUUCAACCUGAGCGUUGAAGAAUUUGAGUUUUGCAUUGUGAUUAGUUAUUCUGCUAUAAUUGUUGAGAGGUCUUUGAGCAACCUGCAAGCAAGGGAGGCUGUCGGUAUCAUCAAAUGAAUUUCAGGAGCUUAAAUUGAUAUUGCAACCAACUUCAACUAAUUUAUAGGUUCUACACACUAGCAAAUAAUUUUUUACCGUAAUUCCAUGAGGUUGAAAUUCCUGGUGGUGGAGCUGUUACUUUCUCCAUCUCUCGUUUUACACGUGUCAUCUGCUGGUACGCUCCUACUCUAGUAACGUACCUUUUGACUAGCUUUACGUUCCAAAUAUCGUUUCACCAUUUUGCCUCAUGCUUGGUUUUAAGCUUGGAAUGGCAUUUUUGGAGAUCUUGAGACAAAGAGCAUGCUUGGCUAAGCUUUUGUUUCCACAUAAGUUUCAAAAUAAGUAACUCAUUUCCAAUGUUGAAAAGUACAAAAACUACUUAUCUAUUGAGAGCUUAUAAUUAAAUUCUUUAAGCUUAGGCAAACAUGAACAUAGAAUCCUUUCUUCCUUGCAAAGAUAUCGAAUUGUACACAACAUACGCUAAAGAGAAGAAUUAGUGAAAUUUUUUGCCAUAUUUGAUGUUCUAGGACACACGUAAUAGAUACUUGAUAUGUACAGGAAUUAAUUGGUACUGGCCAAGUAAAAAGUUGUCAAUCAACUAAAGAUGUUCAUGAUUAUCCAUUAAAGACUUUAUGUGAAUGGUACAAAGGAUAGUAACAAAGGUUAAAGAGAGAGAUGGAGUAAUAAAAAGUAUAUGGGGACACUGCAUAUGGAAUCUAUCAAUUAGUCAUUAUCCCAUUCCCCAAUUAUAGUUGUAAAGUAGUUCUUCUUCUUUUGGUGUUCAAUCAUUCUUUUAAGUUUUACCGAGGCUUUGAUUGUCUCUCCUGUAGAUUUUUGCACUUCUCAUCAUAGAACCCCUAUAUGGUAGUUCAAACUUUGAAACAUUUCCUUAAUGUUUAUGUGGAGAAAAUGAUGACAAAAAGGAAUAAAGUGGGAUGCAUACUCUCCUUUAAUCUCUUUUGCAAGUCCUUCACCUAUGUUUCUCAUAGUCGGUCCAAAGCCUAGGCAAAGGAGGAGUGUUGCAGUUUGUUGAUAACUAGCAUAAAAUCUUUGUCAAAAUCUAAUAAUAUGACUCCUAAUGUACAUUUAGUUUGUUGUAAUAAUCGUUUUUGUAAAAGUCGAGGUAGAUGAUUAUACAUAGUACUCAACAACCCUUUUUAAUUCUGCCCUCUGAUGCUUGCUAAACCUUAAACCAAAAAAAAAAAAAGGGUCAGGUUAAUGGCCAAUGUUGAAGUCUAUGUGUUUCAUAGAGUAGGAAUACCUAGUAUAAAACUUUGUCAAAUCUUAUAACGCGAAUCCUAUACAUUUAGUUAAAAUCUUUUUGUGGGUCCAUGGUCAAGUCGAGUUAGAUGAUUAUACAUAAUACUCAUUACACUUUUCUAAUUCUACCUCUUGAUGCUUGCUAAUUUACCUCUGAUUUUCGAUUUAGGUACACAGUUUGCGGAGAGACAAAUUGUCCCUUUGGCACGUGAGAUUACUACUGACCGCUCACCAGACUAUGAAGAAAAAAGGGUUUUUAUUUGUUGGCAUGGCUCCAUUGUUAGUUCACUCGUGUUUUUGUUAAAAGGUGAAGGG
rnacentral:lncRNA from 1 species